UUAUUCAGUCCUCUGGCAAAGUACUGGAUUUAUUUUCGUUAAUCAUUAGACUAGGGAAAUGCUUCGUAUGAAGAAGAAAAACUAGAGGAGGAUCGUAGUGUAUAUGGGAGAUGACUUCGUGUUCCAGUUGUUUGGGAAGCACAAAGAUAUGGAUGGAUGUGGGGUUAUGUCCUAGUUAUUGUGUCAGACUUGAUGGAGAAAACAAAGGUCUUGAUAAAGGGAAUAUGUCUAAAAUUGAUGACUAUCAGAAUUUGUUUGGUUUAAUGAAACAGAGGUUUAUGAGUUUCAAGAACUAGAAAUACAUGGUGGAAAUGAUCAUGAAAUCUAUGAAUCUGAACGGGCUAUCGAACACACAGGUUAGUACUUUGACUUUGUUAUCAUUUGUGCAAGAAAUAUGUUUGUUUCAGUGCCAUG